UCACUUAGAGAUGGGCCUGCGUACCAUUAGCUAGUUGGUAGGGUAACGGCCUACCAAGGCAAAGAUGGUUAGCUGGUCUGAGAGGAUGAUCAGCCACACUGGAACUGAGACACGGUCCAG
rnacentral:rRNA from 1 species